CACGCCGUAAACGAUGAAUACUAGGUGUAGGAGGUAUCGACCCCUUCUGUGCCGCAGUUAACACAAUAAGUAUUCCGCCUGGGGAGUACGGUCGCAAGAUUAAAACUCAAAGGAAUUGACGGGGGCCCGCACAAGCAGCGGAGCAUGUGGUUUAAUUCGAAGCAACGCGAAGAACCUUACCAGGUCUUGACAUCCCAGUGACCACUCUAGAGAUAGAGUUUUCCCUUCGGGGACAUUGGUGACAGGUGG
rnacentral:rRNA from 1 species